rnacentral:rRNA from 1 species
ACAGCAGUCGCCGCGGUAAUACGUAGGGUGCAAGCGUUAAUCGGAAUUACUGGGCGUAAAGCGUGCGCAGGCGGUUUGUUAAGACAGAUGUGAAAUCCCCGGGCUCAACCUGGGAACUGCAUUUGUGACUGGCAAGCUAGAGUGUGGCAGAGGGGGGUGGAAUUCCGCGUGUAGCGGUGAAAUGCGUAGAUAUGCGGAGGAACACCGAUGGCGAAGGCAAUCCCCUGGACCUGUACUGACGCUCAUGCACGAAAGCGUGGGGAGCAAACAUGAUUAGAUACCCCUGUAGUCCCUGUCUCUUAUAA